GUUUUGAAUAUGCUGGUGUCCUGAAGGAUGACAAAAUAUGAUUGUAGCACAUAUAUUAUAUUCUUAUAUAUAGGCCUACAAUUUACAUUUCAAAUCUAAUAUUUCCAGAAUUCAAACUGGGAAAAUGGAGCAUUGUUGGACAAACUAAGGCCAUAUAUAAACUUCGUCCAAUCAAAUGUUCUUUAGACUGAGAACAUCCCUCCCAUUAAUAACCACCUGCCACUCAUUAGCAAAAGUCAUGUUUUAGUGGCUAUUGUGUUUCAUCCAUGCUUUUUGUUUGGGAAAUAUAUCAACAUGGAAAAGAAUACUGGUCUUCAAACCAUCCAUCCAUCAUGUGGUCAUGAGUUAUGUGCUAAAUAUUCAUAAAAAGGAGUGAGAAAAAGACAAAGAGAGAGAGGGUGAGAGGGAGUGAUCCUGUAUCCGUGAUCCUGCUCCUGUGUUGUUCUUCUGGAUUGGAUGUUGUCUGGGCAGACAGCUUGACAAAUGAUACUUUUUGCUUUCAUCGAAUGGAAAAUAGCAGGCUGAACAUUCCUCAGAAUUUCACACAGGUGUGAAACAACAUGAGGGGAGAGGUCAGGCCUCUGGAGAUUCCAUCAGCAUGUGCUGACAGCACUGAAUCCUGGGUAAUGCGUGCGCGUGGAGGAUGUGACAUCAUCGCUACCCCUGGCUUUAUCUCUCAAAGUUAAUCACUUUGGAAACAUUCCAGGAAUAACAAGUGCAACUGCACAUGUGUGUGUAAAAAUGACAGCGUGACACCUAUGUGUGUGAAAGUAAAUUGUAUUUAUCUGUCAACCUGGAGAAUGUAGCAGGUUACUAAUGUUGCUAAGCUCUCUCUCUCUCUCUCUCUCUCUCUCUCUCUCUCUCUCUCUCUCUCUCUCUCUCUCUCUCUCUCUCUCUCUCUCUCUAUAUAUAUAUAUAAGUACUCUAAAGCUAAGCAUGCCGACUUGUUUAAAACAGAAUUUGCAAAUAUAUAUUUUAUAGGUCCAGACCACAUGAUGAGCUGCUUUUAAUUAUUCAGGAAUUAUCCCGGAUUAUGCUCUAAUGCACAUAAUUUUUGUUGCUCUGAAAUAAUUAAGACAUUAUUUAGGAUCACAUUUGUAACCCAUACACAUUCCCCACUCAAAAUAAAAUAUAGUAAAAAUAAAAACAGAAUAAAACAGUGUACAUAUAGAUUUGUAUAAAUCUUUCUCUCUCAGUACAGGCACAUGUUUGUGUGUGUAACUCUAACCUGUGCUCAUGCGGGGCCGGUGGGCUGUAAUUUGCCCUCACCUGGCCCCAGCCAUAAUUACUCUAAUGAAGCAGGACGGAGCCAGGGGUCCAAGCCCUGGCC